rnacentral:snRNA from 1 species
GUGCUCGCUUCGGCAGCACCUAUGCUGACAUUGGAACAAUACAGAGAAGAUUGGCAUUGCUCCAGCACAAGGAUGUCAUGCAAAUUCGUGAAGCGUUCCAUAUUUUU